CUUGUCUUGGCAGCAUAACAUACUAAAGUUGUAACAAUGCACAGAAACUUAGCAUGGGCCCUGUGGAAUGAUGGCAUGCAAAUCCAUGAAGCGUUCUAUAUUUUU